AAGAACGACGCUGGCGGCAUGCCUAACACAUGCAAGUCGAACGAGACCUUCGGGUCUAGUGGCGCACGGGUGCGUAACGCGUGGGAACCUGCCUUUAGGUUCGGAAUAACUCAGAGAAAUUUGAGCUAAUACCGGAUAAUGUCUUCGGACCAAAGAUUUAUCGCCUUUAGAUGGGCCCGCGUUGGAUUAGCUAGUUGGUGGGGUAAAGGCCUACCAAGGCGACGAUCCAUAGCUGGUCUGAGAGGAUGAUCAGCCACACUGGGACUGAGACACGGCCCAGACUCCUACGGGAGGCAGCAGUGGGGAAUAUUGGACAAUGGGCGAAAGCCUGAUCCAGCAAUGCCGCGUGAGUGAUGAAGGCCUUAGGGUUAUAAAGCUCUUUUACCCGAGAUGAUAAUGACAGUAUCGGGAGAAUAAGCUCCGGCUAACUCCGUG
rnacentral:rRNA from 1 species